rnacentral:sRNA from 1 species
AAAUGUUAUUCUUCCCCAUCUUCUCCACGAUCACUAUAAUAUCCAAGCAAACAAAAUACAAAAUUU